rnacentral:rRNA from 1 species
AACGAACGCUGGCGGCAUGCCUAACACAUGCAAGUCGAACGAACCCUUCGGGGUUAGUGGCGCACGGGUGCGUAACGCGUGGGAAUCUGCCCUUUGCUUCGGAAUAACAGUUAGAAAUGACUGCUAAUACCGGAUGAUGUCUUCGGACCAAAGAUUUAUCGGCAAAGGAUGAGCCCGCGUAGGAUUAGGUAGUUGGUGGGGUAAAGGCCUACCAAGCCGACGAUCCUUAGCUGGUCUGAGAGGAUGAUCAGCCACACUGGGACUGAGACACGGCCCAGACUCCUACGGGAGGCAGCAGUGGGGAAUAUUGGACAAUGGGCGCAAGCCUGAUCCAGCAAUGCCGCGUGAGUGAUGAAGGCCUUCGGGUCGUAAAGCUCUUUUACCAGGGAUGAUAAUGACAGUAGUCGGAGAAGAAGCCCCGGCUAACUUCGUGCCAGCCGCCGCGGUAAUAC